UGAGGGAGACUCCAGAAAGGCCUCUCCGGAAGACAACGGUGCAUGGAGACUCUUCACCCUCUCGCCAACCUCCUCAUCUAUUUACUCGCCUAUUCAUGUGUUUACUCAUGUUGGUACUUGUUGGUUUACUUUUUUAGUAUCUUCGUAGAGCACUAAGUAGCAGAGCUGCCACCGGGGCACGCAAAGCCUUACAAGCGCCCCAGAAAUGGCUGAUUUCUUUCAAAUGCUAUCUACUGGAAUAAUCCAAAGGAUUCAUCCAGGAUUCAUGAACAAAUUUCAAAGAGCCACUACCAUGUUUUUUCUUAAGAAGUGCAUCAAGCAUCUGAUUUGCUGCUGAUAAAUUCUCUGUCCCCGGUCUCCUCCCCUCCUUGCUCAGGCAUCUGCCCAGAGGACACCGUUUUUUCCUCAGAUGUGAAGACCAGGAGGAAAAAUCCCGAAUCUCUGCUUUGCUCUACUGACCACAUGGCGCCUCUCUUUCAGAGUGGUCAUGGGUUGGCUCUGCUUUUUUCAAGCAUUUUAUAAUAAUUAUUUGGUUUUUUAUCCUUCUGAAUUCUCUCUGGAAUUAAUAAAGUUAAA